GCGUAUAUUAAAGUUGUUGCAGUUAAAACGCUCGUAGUCGGGUUUCGGGUCGGGCCGAGCGGUCUGCCGAUGGGUAUGCACUGUUUGGCGCGGCCUUCUUUCCGGAGACCGCGGCUACUCUUAACUGAGCGGGCGUGGGAGACGGAUCGUUUACUUUAUAAAAAUCAGAGUGUUUCAAGCAGGCAGCUCGCUCUUGCAUGGUACAGCAUGGGAUGAUUGAAUAGGACUCCGGUGCUAUUUUGUUGGUUUCGAACACCAGGAGUAAUGAUUAACAGGGACAGUCAGGGGCACUCGUAUUCCGUCGAGAGAGGUGAAAUUCUCAGACCAAUGGAAGACGAACCACUGCGAAAGCAUUUGCCAGGGAUGUUUUCACUGA
rnacentral:rRNA from 1 species